rnacentral:lncRNA from 1 species
CCAAGAUUAAACACCAUAAAGAGAGUAGUAAUACCACUGUACUUCCUUGUUUUAUUUAUUAUUUUGGUCAUACAUUCACUUCAUACAGUGUUUACCAUCAAGUACAACCCAGGUUCAUCAAUUCUUUGAGGUAUUGCAAUGUUUUAAAUAAAAUACUAGUCUAAUUACACUUAUCCAGCGGCCUCACAAGUACGUGAAGACCAAACUUAGGUUUCAGAGUAAACAUAUCAACGGGCGCAUGCACAUAGUCAGGGGAAAGUGUGAAUGAGAACUUCUGG